ACUCUACUCUGCUCGUGGGGUCAAUUACCGGGCAAUUACGUAAUUUCUGACAUAACGCCCUGCCUCUAUUAUCGUGCGAAGAACCAGAUUUUGCUGGACCUGUAACCUGCCAACUUCACGUCGGCCUCCCACGCUCGGAGGUUGCCCUCGUGUGUGGGAAUGUCGUUAGUAUAGAGCGCAUAGAGGAGUGGUGCCAGGACGCUUCCCCGAGGGACCCCGGCCCUGACUGGGCGCACCGACCGACGCAUGUUCAUGUACUCAGCUAACUGUCAGUAUCUAAAACGUAGCUCCGUCCCCGCCGCCCCGCCGCCGGCUUCUGCGUAACUUUCCUCGUUUUUGUAGUGUUUUCACAAUUAUGACAGGUUGUUAUUUUGUAUUGCGCUCCAUUUUUAAUAAUCAGAACAAUCAUAUGUGACAGCUGACACAUUUCAGAUGUGCCUCUUACACGAAAGGAAUAUUACACAAUACUCAAUUAUUACUACGCUCUUACUGAGACACACCUGCUACACGGAGCGACCGAGGGCAACGACAUGGCGCCGCCCAGAAUAGAACUCCUAAUCGACGAACCUUAGGACUGCGUCGCAAGCGACUGAAUCCGAUACAGAUUACAAAAUAAUAUAAGAAAACUGUUUAUACUUGUAGUAUCGGUGCUAAACGGUCACUCAGGCGGCGAUUUUCUUGUAGACCUUACUCACCGGUGGGCUGAAGCCUUGGCUAGCAAAGGCGAGGGCCUUGAUACCGCGAAGGCCUUCGAUAUGAUCUGGCAUGGGCAUUUCUAUCGAAAUCACCAGCACACGAAAUCCCCAAAGGAUUCUGCAAGUCGGUCGUUAGCUUUUUGGAUGAAUGGAGCUUUACGGUCGUCGUUGAUAGCUGCUGCCCCAACACAACGACCAUCAAUGCGAGCGUUACUAAGGUUCGGUGAUCUUCCCUACGAUGUCCAUGCUGCACAUUGAUGACAUGCCGAUGAUCUACAGAAGGCGCGCUGAUAACUACAAUAAGAAACUCGUUUUCGAACGGGACCAAUGAAUUUCCGUUGUUCAAAUCCUGCAGACAGAUAAAAAAUGUUCUAAUGAAAUACGUAUUUAAGAAAUAAUAAUGAAAUAAUUCCACAACAUCAACUUCCCAACAUAAACAAUGAUGAGUAGGUCCGGUGCUGCACGAAGCGAGUCUGUCGAGGGGCCGAGUGCCGCGCCGGCUGGCUACACACGCGGCGCCAAUCUAUCAGCUCGUUGUGUGACCACUCAGUGCGAGCCGGUUCAUACAGUACAGUGUCCACCUCCUGUCUCCUGGCUGCGAAGUUCACACUGCGAUGUCUGCGGGCCCCGGCACGUAGUUACGAGCGGGCUCAGCGCGGGCACAUCUGUGCGUUGCAACAAUGACGCGACGGGACGGACCUUCGAUUCGCUGAUCUACUGUAGCGCGGGCUCCGGUUCAGUUCACAGCUCCGUGCUAACUGCAUGCGGUAUCUACCCAAAACUGUCUGUAACAUGCCGACUGCAAAAAUG